rnacentral:rRNA from 1 species
UACAGAGGUCUCAAGCGUUGUUCGGAUUCAUUGGGCGUAAAGGGUGCGUAGGUGGCGCCGUAAGUCGGGUGUGAAAUUUCGGAGCUUAACUCCGAAACUGCAUUCGAUACUGCGGUGCUUGAGGACUGGAGAGGAGACUGGAAUUCAUGGUGUAGCAGUGAAAAUGCGUAGAGAUCAUGAGGAAGACCAGUGGCGAAGGCGGGUCUCUGGACAGUUCCUGACACUGAGGCACGAAGGCCAGGGAGCAAACGGG